CAGCAGGGAACCCACCGCACACCUGUCUGUGUGAAAAGAGGGACAGUGAUGCCGCGUGACCACCUGGUUGGAGCAGCUCGGUGCCGCAUAUGAAACAGACUGUUACAGGUGCAGAGGAGGCUGGGCAGGAUGUUGGUGUGGAAGCCGUCUCUGGCUGGAUGUGGAUGCCGUGGUUAGGAUGGUGCAGAGGAAGAUCUGGGGGACGCUACUGUGCGUUGGAACAAUCUCAAAGGGGUCCUAGAGGACGGCCACUGUCAGGUCAUCAGGUUCCUCCUCCACAAAAGCCUUUAUCAUGCACCGCCUCCUCGUCCAUCUGCUCCCUCGGCCGAUCCUCUUCCUCUGGGUUGUCCAUGACGGUCAGGGACCGACCAGACUGGCGGUACCGGUACUCCAUACCAAGAAGCUCACCUGUAAAAGAACGCCGAUACAAAUUACAAUACUAGUCAAGAAUUUUAACUAAGUAUUCAGACAAAUGAAGUAGAAAUGAAAAAAGAAGGUAUAUUUACGUGACUUAUUACUACAUGACAAAAAUUUUAAGCUCUCUUUACGUUUUUACAAGAAAAGAAGCGUAAAGGUAUUUUAAAUAGCAGUUUAAUUUAAACAUUUAUUUUCAUAGUGACAUGUUGCAUUAAAGUGUUUCUAAUCAAAAAUAUCAGAAUAAUUAGCGUAUUUUAAGAAGACACCACUGGCCCAAUCAGUCUCUGACUUGCUUUAGACUUUGUUUGGUAACAAUUAUUCAUCAUGAAUAAUAAGAAAAAUACUGCAGUUUACUCUUUAAAGUCGCUCUGAGAUACUUUUUUACUUAGAAAGUAGAAUUUUAAUCUGAUACUUUUACUGCUAAAUGUAUUUCUUCUGUAUUACUUAAGAAAAUCAAGUAUUUCUUCUUCCACUGCAUAUCUGUGUUGAAGGUUUGUCGAAAGACAUCGGCAUGAGAAAACCACUGAUUCAUUUCAAGAUGCAUUAUAACUGUUUUUCAUU